GCGGGCGUAGUUUAGUGGCAGAACUCCUGGCUUCCAACCAGGGGACGCGAGUUCGAUUCUCGCCGCCCGCA
rnacentral:tRNA from 1 species